ACAAGUUUGUGUCAGUCGGAGGUAGGGUCUUAGGCAUUGCUAAUGCGACGUUGCCAGAUCUGUCCUUCGGCUAACAUUGGCUUAU